rnacentral:rRNA from 1 species
AAGCGCUGGCAACCAGACUCGAGCGCGGUGUUCCCCCUGGCUUCUGCUAGGGUUACUUCACCGUGUCCGGGCCAUCAUCAGUUUUGGGGACCGGUCAAAGGCCCCGGGAAUGUAUCGUCUCCUUCGGGGGACGACUUAUAGCCCGGGGUGUCAUGCGGCCUCCCGGGACUGAGGAAC